GGGUUGUGAGGUUAAGCGACUAAGCGUACACGGUGGAUGCCCUGGCAGUCAGAGGCGAUGAAGGACGUGCUAAUCUGCGAUAAGCGUCGGUAAGGUGAUAUGAACCGUUAUAACCGGCGAUUUCCGAAUGGGGAAACCCAGUGUGAUUCGUCACACUAUCAUUAACUGAAUCCAUAGGUUAAUGAGGCGAACCGGGGGAACUGAAACAUCUAAGUACCCCGAGGAAAAGAAAUCAACCGAGAUUCCCCCAGUAGCGGCGAGCGAACGGGGAGGAGCCCAGAGCCUGAAUCAGUGUGUGUGUUAGUGGAAGCGUCUGGAAAGGCGCGCGAUACAGGGUGACAGCCCCGUACACAAAAAUGCACAUGCUGUGAGCUCGAUGAGUAGGGCGGGACACGUGGUAUCCUGUCUGAAUAUGGGGGGACCAUCCUCCAAGGCUAAAUACUCCUGACUGACCGAUAGUGAACCAGUACCGUGAGGGAAAGGCGAAAAGAACCCCGGCGAGGGGAGUGAAAAAGAACCUGAAACCGUGUACGUACAAGCAGUGGGAGCACGCUUAGGCGUGUGACUGCGUACCUUUUGUAUAAUGGGUCAGCGACUUAUAUUCUGUAGCAAGGUUAACCGAAUAGGGGAGCCGAAGGGAAACCGAGUCUUAACUGGGCGUUAAGUUGCAGGGUAUAGACCCGAAACCCGGUGAUCUAGCCAUGGGCAGGUUGAAGGUUGGGUAACACUAACUGGAGGACCGAACCGACUAAUGUUGAAAAAUUAGCGGAUGACUUGUGGCUGGGGGUGAAAGGCCAAUCAAACCGGGAGAUAGCUGGUUCUCCCCGAAAGCUAUUUAGGUAGCGCCUCGUGAAUUCAUCUCCGGGGGUAGAGCACUGUUUCGGCAAGGGGGUCAUCCCGACUUACCAACCCGAUGCAAACUGCGAAUACCGGAGAAUGUUAUCACGGGAGACACACGGCGGGUGCUAACGUCCGUCGUGAAGAGGGAAACAACCCAGACCGCCAGCUAAGGUCCCAAAGUCAUGGUUAAGUGGGAAACGAUGUGGGAAGGCCCAGACAGCCAGGAUGUUGGCUUAGAAGCAGCCAUCAUUUAAAGAAAGCGUAAUAGCUCACUGGUCGAGUCGGCCUGCGCGGAAGAUGUAACGGGGCUAAACCAUGCACCGAAGCUGCGGCAGCGACGCUGAUGCGUUGUUGGGUAGGGGAGCGUUCUGUAAGCCUGCGAAGGUGUGCUGUGAGGCAUGCUGGAGGUAUCAGAAGUGCGAAUGCUGACAUAAGUAACGAUAAAGCGGGUGAAAAGCCCGCUCGCCGGAAGACCAAGGGUUCCUGUCCAACGUUAAUCGGGGCAGGGUGAGUCGACCCCUAAGGCGAGGCCGAAAGGCGUAGUCGAUGGGAAACAGGUUAAUAUUCCUGUACUUGGUGUUACUGCGAAGGGGGGACGGAGAAGGCUAUGUUGGCCGGGCGACGGUUGUCCCGGUUUAAGCGUGUAGGCUGGUUUUCCAGGCAAAUCCGGAAAAUCAAGGCUGAGGCGUGAUGACGAGGCACUACGGUGCUGAAGCAACAAAUGCCCUGCUUCCAGGAAAAGCCUCUAAGCAUCAGGUAACAUCAAAUCGUACCCCAAACCGACACAGGUGGUCAGGUAGAGAAUACCAAGGCGCUUGAGAGAACUCGGGUGAAGGAACUAGGCAAAAUGGUGCCGUAACUUCGGGAGAAGGCACGCUGAUAUGUAGGUGAAGCGACUUGCUCGUGGAGCUGAAAUCAGUCGAAGAUACCAGCUGGCUGCAACUGUUUAUUAAAAACACAGCACUGUGCAAACACGAAAGUGGACGUAUACGGUGUGACGCCUGCCCGGUGCCGGAAGGUUAAUUGAUGGGGUCAGCGCAAGCGAAGCUCUUGAUCGAAGCCCCGGUAAACGGCGGCCGUAACUAUAACGGUCCUAAGGUAGCGAAAUUCCUUGUCGGGUAAGUUCCGACCUGCACGAAUGGCGUAAUGAUGGCCAGGCUGUCUCCACCCGAGACUCAGUGAAAUUGAACUCGCUGUGAAGAUGCAGUGUACCCGCGGCAAGACGGAAAGACCCCGUGAACCUUUACUAUAGCUUGACACUGAACAUUGAGCCUUGAUGUGUAGGAUAGGUGGGAGGCUUUGAAGUGUGGACGCCAGUCUGCAUGGAGCCGACCUUGAAAUACCACCCUUUAAUGUUUGAUGUUCUAACGUUGACCCGUGAUCCGGGUUGCGGACAGUGUCUGGUGGGUAGUUUGACUGGGGCGGUCUCCUCCUAAAGAGUAACGGAGGAGCACGAAGGUUGGCUAAUCCUGGUCGGACAUCAGGAGGUUAGUGCAAUGGCAUAAGCCAGCUUGACUGCGAGCGUGACGGCGCGAGCAGGUGCGAAAGCAGGUCAUAGUGAUCCGGUGGUUCUGAAUGGAAGGGCCAUCGCUCAACGGAUAAAAGGUACUCCGGGGAUAACAGGCUGAUACCGCCCAAGAGUUCAUAUCGACGGCGGUGUUUGGCACCUCGAUGUCGGCUCAUCACAUCCUGGGGCUGAAGUAGGUCCCAAGGGUAUGGCUGUUCGCCAUUUAAAGUGGUACGCGAGCUGGGUUUAGAACGUCGUGAGACAGUUCGGUCCCUAUCUGCCGUGGGCGCUGGAGAACUGAGGGGGGCUGCUCCUAGUACGAGAGGACCGGAGUGGACGCAUCACUGGUGUUCGGGUUGUCAUGCCAAUGGCACUGCCCGGUAGCUAAAUGCGGAAGAGAUAAGUGCUGAAAGCAUCUAAGCACGAAACUUGCCCCGAGAUGAGUUCUCCCUGACUCCUUGAGAGUCCUGAAGGAACGUUGAAGACGACGACGUUGAUAGGCCGGGUGUGUAAGCGCAGCGAUGCGUUGAGCUAACCGGUACUAAUGAACCGUGAGGCUUAACCUUACAACGCCGAAG
rnacentral:rRNA from 1 species